rnacentral:rRNA from 1 species
CAUCUAGAUUAGAGUUUGAUCCUGGCUCAGGAUGAACGCUGGCGGCGUGCUUAACACAUGCAAGUCGAACGAUGAUCCCAGCUUGCUGGGGGAUUAGUGGCGAACGGGUGAGUAACACGUGAGUAACCUGCCCUUAACUCUGGGAUAAGCCUGGGAAACUGGGUCUAAUACCGGAUAUGACUCCUCAUCGCGUGGUGGGGGGUGGAAAGCUUUUUGUGGUUUUGGAUGGACUCGCGGCCUAUCAGCUUGUUGGUGAGGUAAUGGCUUACCAAGGCGACGACGGGUAGCCGGCCUGAGAGGGUGACCGGCCACACUGGGACUGAGACACGGCCCAGACUCCUACGGGAGGCAGCAGUGGGGAAUAUUGCACAAUGGGCGCAAGCCUGAUGCAGCGACGCCGCGUGAGGGAUGGCGGCCUUCGGGUUGUAAACCUCUUUCAGUAGGGAAGAAGCGUAAGUGACGGUACCUGCAGAAGAAGCGCCGGCUAACUACGUGCCAGCAGCCGCGGUAAUACGUAGGGCGCAAGCGUUAUCCGGAAUUAUUGGGCGUAAAGAGCUCGUAGGCGGUUUGUCGCGUCUGCCGUGAAAGUCCGGGGCUCAACUCCGGAUCUGCGGUGGGUACGGGCAGACUAGAGUGAUGUAGGGGAGACUGGAAUUCCUGGUGUAUCGGUGAAAUGCUCAAUAUCAUGAGGAACACCGAUGGCGAAGGCAGGUCUCUGGGCAUUAACUGACGCUGAGGAGC